UUAUCAGAAGUGCGAAUGCUGACGUGAGUAACGACAAAACGGGUGAAAAACCCGUUCGCCGAAAGACCAAGGGUUCCAGUCCAACGUUAAUCGGGGCUGGGUGAGUCGACCCCUAAGGCGAGGCCGAAAGGCGUAGUCGAUGGGAAAAUGGUUAAUAUUCCAUUACUUCUGUGUAAUGCGAUGAGAGGACGGAGAAGGCUAAAUCAGCCUGGCGUUGGUUGUCCAGGUGAAAGGAUGUAGGCAUGUAUCUUAGGCAAAUCCGGGGUACUCUAUGCUGAGAUCUGAUAGCAAGCUGUACUUGUACAGCGAAGUGGUUGAUGCCAUGCUUCCAGGAAAAGUCUCUAAGCUUCAGUUACACAGGAAUCGUACCCGAAACCGACACAGGUGGUCAGGUCGAGUAGACCAAGGCGCUUGAGAGAACUCUGCUGAAGGAACUAGGCAAAAUGGUACCGUAACUUCGGGAGAAGGUACGCUGUUGUUGGUGAUGGAACUCGCUUCCUGAGCUGACGACAGCCGCAGAAACCAGGCCGCUGCAACUGUUUAUUAAAAACAUAGCACUCUGCAAACACGAAAGUGGACGUAUAGGGUGUGAUGCCUGCCCGGUGCUGGAAGGUUAAUUGAUGGGGUUAGCGUAAGCGAAGCUCUUGAUCGAAGCCCCAGUAAACGGCGGCCGUAACUAUAACGGUCCUAAGGUAGCGAAAUUCCUUGUCGGGUAAGUUCCGACCUGCACGAAUGGCAUAAUGAUGGCGGCGCUGUCUCCAGCAGAGGCUCAGUGAAAUCGAAAUCGCUGUGAAGAUGCAGUGUACCCGCGGCUAGACGGAAAGACCCCGUGAACCUUUACUGCAGCUUGACACUGAACUUUGACCUUACUUGUGUAGGAUAGGUGGGAGGCUUUGAAGCUGGAACGCUAGUUCCAGUGGAGCCGUCCUUGAAAUACCACCCUGGUAAUGUUGAGGUUCUAACUCUGUCCCGUGAUCCGGGACGAGGACCGUGUCUGGUGGGUAGUUUGACUGGGGCGGUCUCCUCCUAAAGAGUAACGGAGGAGUACGAAGGUGCGCUCAGCGUGGUCGGAAAUCACGCGUAGAGUAUAAAGGCAAAAGCGCGCUUAACUGCGAGACCCACAAGUCGAGCAGGUACGAAAGUAGGUCUUAGUGAUCCGGUGGUUCUGUAUGGAAGGGCCAUCGCUCAACGGAUAAAAGGUACUCUGGGGAUAACAGGCUGAUACCGCCCAAGAGUUCAUAUCGACGGCGGUGUUUGGCACCUCGAUGUCGGCUCAUCUCAUCCUGGGGCUGAAGCAGGUCCCAAGGGUAUGGCUGUUCGCCAUUUAAAGAGGUACGCGAGCUGGGUUUAGAACGUCGUGAGACAGUUCGGUCCCUAUCUACCGUGGGCGCUGGAAAUUUGAGAGGAUCUGCUCCUAGUACGAGAGGACCAGAGUGGACGAACCUCUGGUGUACCGGUUGUGACGCCAGUCGCAUCGCCGGGUAGCUAUGUUCGGAAGGGAUAACCGCUGAAAGCAUCUAAGCGGGAAGCCUACCUCAAGAUAAGAUUUCCCUAGGACUUUAUGUCCUCUAAAGAGCCGUUCGAGACUAGGACGUUGAUAGGUUGGAUGUGGAAGCAUAGUGAUAUGUGAAGCUGACCAAUACUAAUUGCUCGUGAGGCUUGACUAU
rnacentral:rRNA from 1 species